rnacentral:rRNA from 1 species
GAUGAACGCUAGCUACAGGCUUAACACAUGCAAGUCGAGGGGCAGCGGGAUUGAAGCUUGCUUCAAUUGCCGGCGACCGGCGCACGGGUGAGUAACGCGUAUCCAACCUUCCGUACACUCAGGGAUAGCCUUUCGAAAGAAAGAUUAAUACCUGAUGGUAUCUUAAGCACACAUGUAAUUAAGAUUAAAGAUUUAUCGGUGUACGAUGGGGAUGCGUUCCAUUAGGUAGUAGGCGGGUAACGGCCCACCUAGCCAACGAUGGAUAGGGGUUCUGAGAGGAAGGUCCCCCACAUUGGAACUGAGACACGGUCCAAACUCCUACGGGAGGCAGCAGUGAGGAAUAUUGGUCAAUGGACGCGAGUCUGAACCAGCCAAGUAGCGUGAAGGAUGAAGGUCCUACGGAUUGUAAACUUCUUUUAUAAGGGAUAAACCCUCCACGUGUGGAGCUUGUAUGUACCUUAUGAAUAAGCAUCGGCUAACUCCGUG